CCAAUAUAGGUUAAACCCGUGCAAUUCUUCUAAACUCAUUUUCACAUUUAACACGCUCGAUCUUCUGCGGUUCUUUUUAAAAAUCCAAAAAAUUAACAACUUCAAGAUUACCGAUGCCCCCCGGGCCGCCCUUAACUUCCCUCCCCACCCUCCCCCUGUCGGGGACACCCAGCCUGGCUGCCAAGCUUCUGGUUACCGGGCAACAGCUGCCCAAUGGUCAUUUCAAACCAGACAUUCUAUGCACAUCUUCCUCUCAACUCUCCUCUCUGCUAAGCUUCCCUGUUUCUGUCCGGGCAGCGCCGCCCUCCCUCCCAGCUGCCCACAGCUCUCUCUCCCUCCAACCCAGUUUCCAAAUCCCGUCAUUUACGCCUCUCCCUCUACCGUCGCCUCUGACCCUUAGCACCUCUCCUCAGGACUACAACUGCCUCUCAAUCCGAUCUGCUUUAACCAACAGGCCUCCGUUAGUGCCCACCACAUGCCAGGGACCGUGAACCCCGAGCUCCCGGGAGGCUGGCACUCCUCGGAGGCAGGAAGCGGGCCAGACUUCAGAGAACCCGGCCCCAACAGACACAAGGAAUCUGCCCAGGGAAGACACUAGUAACUGGGGAAACCGGGAAGGCUGCUAAAGGACAACAGGAGCCGUCUUCCCCCUUCCACACAGAGAAUGCCAUUGUCAAACACAGGUCAGAGCACCUCCCUCCUACGUGGCGAACCCCAAGAUCACCCCAAAUCAGCACCUCCUGCUUGGCAUCUCAAGCCCUGCACCCAAGUGACUGACCUCUGAAAAUGGGCAGGGGGGUGCUGCCCACAUCUCAGCAAUGGCCGUCUUGUUCUUCCAAGGCAAGUCAAAAUGGAUACGAUUAUCCUGAAUCCAUCUUUUUUGUUUAGCCCCCUUGAUAAAUAAUCCUAACAAAAAAGGGGGCAACUAAAUGAACCCACUAAAAAUAACUUUCCCCCACUAACCACCGAGAUAAAACUCGGUAACAUUGUAUUACAUGAUAGCCUAAGAACAACAUUCAGAAUUUUGCUUUUAAGAAGUUAAAUUCAAUGCUCUAGAAAUAUAUGGACAUAUUGAAUCUGAAUCAGCAAUUUUCUUCAAAGAAAAUAAUAUAGAUAAGUCAACAAUAAGGAGAUAUAAAGGAUUUAGCUCCUUGGAGCAGAAAGCAACCGGGAGCUCCCUGAAAAUGAACCAAAAAUACUCACACAAAAUUCUGGGAUAGGCAACUAUCAGUAAGGACACUGGGAAUUCUCUCCUUGCCGGUCUCUGCCCAGAUGAUCAUGAGCGCUCCUUGAUUUUUAGGUGCAAAGUACUUUAGACCAAAGUGUUACAUCACAAUAUUGUUUAUUAUGUGACUUUUUACAAUACAAACAAAAAUACAGAAAUGCAAUAUAUGAAUACAGCUAAAUGCAGAACGGUGACUUUUUUUCUCUUCAAGAGGCCAUGAUUCCCAUUUCUAGUAAAAUAAAGAGACUGCACACAGGUAGAAACAAGUUGGUAGUUAACUCCACAUUUUUAUCUAGAAAUGACCUAUUAAUGCAUUUUUCCUGCUACUUACCAUAAAGUGUAAAAAGGGAGUUAAAGGAAAGUUUUACUCGCUGGUUCCUACCAUAUGAAAGACGCUAUAUUCUAUUUAGCAGGGCCAAUAUACGGAAAAUAUCUAAAUUUAAAUGUUAUUACAAAAAUGAAGCAGUAAUGAGAGUCUUCUGGCUAAAGAAGUCACUAAAUUGAGAAGAGCAUAUAUUUAAAGAAUUCCAAACAAGAAAGGGCUGUUAUAAAAAGCUUUUAGGUGCAGUGGAAGCUUAUAGGGUUUUUUUUUCCAUGUGUAUUUUUAAACAAUGGAA